CGCGUAGGCGGUCUCUUAAGUCAGAUGUGAAAGCCCGGGGCUUAACCCCGGAAGUGCAUUUGAAACGAAGGGACUUGAGUAUGGGAGAGGGAAGUGGAAUUCCUGGUGUAGCGGUGAAAUGCGUAGAUAUCAGGAGGAACACCGGUGGCGAUGGCGACUUCCUGGACCAAUACUGACGCUGAGGCGCGAAGGCGUGGGGAGCAAACAG
rnacentral:rRNA from 1 species